GACGAACGCUGGCGGCGUGCUUAACACAUGCAAGUCGAACGGUGAAGCGCCUUCCUUUUUGGUGGGUGUGGAUGAGUGGCGAACGGGUGAGUAACACGUGAGUAACCUGCCCCCUUCUUCUGGAUAACCGCAUGAAAGUGUGGCUAAUACGGGAUAUUCUGGGUCUGUCGCAUGAUGGGUCUGGGAAAGAUAUUGUUUCGGUGGGGGAUGGGCUCGUGGCCUAUCAGCUUGUUGGUGGGGUGAUGGCCUACCAAGGCGGUGACGGGUAGCCGGCCUGAGAGGGUGGACGGUCACACUGGGACUGAGACACGGCCCAGACUCCUACGGGAGGCAGCAGUGGGGAAUAUUGCACAAUGGGCGCAAGCCUGAUGCAGCGACGCCGCGUGAGGGAUGGAGGCCUUCGGGUUGUGAACCUCUUUCGCCAGUGAAGCAGGCCUGCCUCGUUUGUGGGUGGGUUGACAGUAGCUGGAUAAGAAGCGCCGGCUAACUACGUG
rnacentral:rRNA from 1 species